AGCGUGGCUUCGCUUCCAACUUUUUUCUGAUGAUGUUUGUUUUAAACUCCGAAGCUUUUUCCCUCCAAGUGCAGCUCUGUCUCCGUGCUGUGGGCUCACACUGCUUCAGCUCUUCAAGACAGAUGACUUUUUUUUUUUAACUCCCAAGCUUUUUCCCUCCAAGUGGCUGUGCAGUUCUGUCCUGCUGACUGCUAACAUAGCUUCAUCUCUUCAAAAGACAAGACAACAGGUGUCUUUCACCAAGAUCUCUGUUGAAAUGGAAAUGACCUUACCCACUACACCAAGGGUAAUCAUACUUGGAAAUACCUUGAUGUCUGCAACCCGGUGGAUGGUCAGUAUGGAGCAGAAGGUAUUUUUCGAGCCUGAGCAACUACAUGACUUUGCCAGCGUCCUUGCUGUCUUUUUUGGGUCAAAUUCUGUCUUCAAUCUGGAGUAUCAGGAGUUGGCAUCCACCACGCUGGAGAUGAUACAACGAUUCUUUGUGAGGAUCAAUCCAGAUGUUGGUACCAAAUGCACAGCCAAAGUCGGUACAAGCCGCAAGACAGGAAGUCUUGUCAAGAGGAAAGUAGUCAGUGUCAACUCCCGGAUCACCACCUUCCUCCAACGACUCGCUGAAUUUGAAUGGAGGACUUCCAGCUAGUUCAGCUUCCACAAGAUGGAUCCCACUGAUUUUGUUUGACGAAUGGAAUAAAAGUUCUUCUGAUGUA